rnacentral:rRNA from 1 species
AUACGUAGGGGGCUAGCGUUAUCCGGAAUUACUGGGCGUAAAGGGUGCGUAGGUGGUUUCUUAAGUCAGAAGUGAAAGGCUACGGCUCAACCGUAGUAAGCUUUUGAAACUAAGAGACUUGAGUGCAGGAGAGGAGAGUAGAAUUCCUAGUGUGGCGGUGAAAAGCGUAGAUAUUAGGAGGAAUACCAGUUGCGAAGGCGGCUCUCUGGACUGUAACUGACACUGAGGCACGAAAGCGUGGGGAGCAAACAGGAUUAGAUACCCUGGUAGUCCACGCCGUAAACGAUGAGUACUAGCUGUCGGGGGUUACCCCCCUCGGUGGCGCAGCUAACGCAUUAAGUACUCCGCCUGGGGAGUACGACCGCAAGGUUGAAACUCAAAGGAAUUGGCGGGG